rnacentral:lncRNA from 1 species
AAAUAAAUAAGCUGCCUUAUUACAUUUAAAAGCCCAAAACCUCAAACGUAAUUAAAAGGAUGACAAGUUCACCAGAAGAAAAUCAAACUUUCAGAACGGGUGGCCACUCCGAAUUCCCUCACAGCUCCAAGCCCACUAUGGUUGGGGAUUACCUGCGUGGAUGAAAAUAAAAGGGAUAAGUUUGGGGAAACUCAGUGUAUAAAAUAACCCAACCAUAGUCUAAAUCAGCUCAACCCACAGAAACAGAAUAAGUUGGCCUUAGCCCAGAACAGAAUUCAGAAUAAAGCCCAUAUGCCCAUAACAGAACAGAACAGAUAUUACAUGUUUAUGCAGAAACCCAACCAUAUCCAACCGUAUACACCCCCGUACCAACCUUACACCGUGUGGGGAGACAACUCGACUCACCCAACCGCUACACACCACAGAAUUUGCAGCAUGGCUGCCAGAACAGAUAAUGUGACAGAGUCACCAGAUACAGAUAAUCGUGGCAGAGCCACCAGAACAGAUAUAUGUGGCAGAGCCACCAGAUCAGAUAUUUGUGGCAUAGCCACCAGAACGGUUCCUCCAUAAUAUAACCCAUGUCCCCAUGCAACAAAUACAUAAUCAUGGCAUCCAUCAUACAGAAUCAGAUCGCUAUGCUUUUCAGUCAAAAUUAACCCUACGGGUAUAACAGUAAUUUUGCACCCAGGGGUAUAACAGUAAUUUUCCAUACAUAGGGGUAUUAUAGUAAUUUAGCUACUUUCAGGGUUUUCAUGCAUAUCCUAACUAUUUACGUACUAUCAGAACACUUACCGCGCAUACUUACCGAAUUGGGCCCGUUGGCCCAUGAACCCGAUCUUUGGCCCAUUAAGCCCAAAUUAUCAAAAUGUACGAAAUCGCGCGUACUGCAGUUUAUUACUUUAGAUUACCAAAUAUACAAACCCAACUAUUUUACGAGCAUUCGCACACUCGUAAAUUCCCAAAAUACUGACUUUUCGGCAUUUCGGCUUUUGUCAAUCUAGUCUAUGAGAGGGUGUCAGUUACACACUUGUUUGCGACGAUAUGCUGACGAGAUCCACACACGAACCGCCUACAAUUGGAUUACUAAAACGUUAAUCUAACUAUUCAAAUACAAACUACGUAUUAAACCCUUACAAUAUUCGGUCAACCACACCUACAGAUCAUAGUAAGCUUAUAAGAAAUCAAUAAGCAACUCAUUAACAAAUUUUUGUCAAUGUUUACCACAUAAUCAUAAUUUCACUGCAAGCUGUCUUUCUGAGCAACAGUCACUAAAUCAUUUAUAACUAGAGCUAAGAAACUCCAAAUCAAGUGCUGUUAAUUUUCCCUGAAAAUAGACUCAUAUAUCUUCUAUCCUUUAAAUUUUCAAAAUUUUUGGUUUGGCCAAUCAAUACCAGAUAUUUCUUAAAGUUUCCUAUGUUUCACUGUUUGACUAAUCUGACCACUCUUCAUUACGAAUCAAAUUUCUCAUUGUACAGAAUUAAAAAUAUGUUCUCGUUUAUUUCAUUUGAAACUAGACUCAACAAACUUUAAUUACAUAAUUUAUUCACCUUCUAACUCAUCUCCCAGAAUUUAUGGUGAUUUUCCAAAGUCACACUACUGCUGCUGUCCCAAGCAGAUUUAUUACCAAAUCACUCUUUCACACAUAACUUGCAUGCAUGUUAUUUAAACAUGUAUAUCACCAAUCAAUCAUCACAUAUCUAUGAUUUUACUUAAGUAUAAUCUCCAUUUCAUCAUUUUAAAGCACAACAUGUUAGCUGAUUUUUCCCUUUAACAUCUAAGGCACAUGCAUGCUCAUUUGUUUGGCUCAACUUCACCUAUCUUCCAUUUUUCAUCAAAAGAACAUGAAACAACAACCAUUUCCUUCAUUUUAAUUCAUGACUAAAUGCUCACAACACAACUAAAAAUCAAAAUAUACUUCAAGAGUUAAGGUAGAAUCAAGAAGAACUCAUGAACCUCAAAAUAGAAGUAAGGUACCAAGAACUUACCUUCAAUUUUCCUCCUCCUAAUGACCGAAUACUCAAGAGCUUUCUCCUCUCCUUUCUCUUCUCUAACUUUCAGCUAUGAUGAACAAAGAUGGACAAAACUUUAUUCUUUUCACCCCUUUUUCUUUUAAUAAAACUUCAUAUUUCAUCCAUUUAAUUCUUUAAUACAAAAGACAUGAAAUUCUUAUCAUGAAACAUUUACCUAACCCAUUAUCAUGAAACAUUUACCUAACCCAUUAUCAUGUAACAUUUACCUAACCUAUUAUCAUGGAACAUUUACCUAACCUAUUAUCAAUUUGUAUCAAUUUGUCUACAACAACAUGAUGGUUGGCCACUUCAUGUAAAAUGGGAGGUUUGUCAUGCAAAUCCUCCUAUUUUGCACUCCUAUUUAUUUGGCCACUUCAAUUUAGCCUAUAGCAUUUUCAAACAUUUUCACAUAGGUCCUAUUUCAUAAUUUCACUCCCUUUUUCUUAUGGAACAAAAAUUAACUAAAAUUACCGGGUUCUAUCUUAAGCUUGGGCCAUCUAGAGGCCCACUAACAUAAUUAAACCUAUGCCAACAUUCACAGGAUUCCCGAAAAUUGGGGCGUUACAACUCUACCCUCCUUAAAGAAAUUUCGUCCUCGAAAUUUACCUAAUCCAAACAGAUGAGGGUAUUGCUGUUGCAUCGUCUCUUCUGGCUCCCAAACUCAGAAGUUUCCCCUUCCUUAACUUGUUGAAAACGAGCGACCAAAGACUCAUCGUUCAACUGUUUUUCCUUAAUCUGAUCCACCAGGUUGGCCUCACUUGCAACUCAGCCAAUAGACUUCCAUCAUCAUACAGACUCAGACGAGCAAACAUUGCUCUCAGAUCAGAUACAGCUCUCCGACUUAGAGCAUCGGCUACCACAUUAGCCUUGCUUGGGUGAUACUCGAUCGAACAGUCAUAAUCCUUAAGCAACUCAAUCCAUCUCCUUUGCCUAAGGUUCAGCUCCUUCUGAGUCAACAAAUACUUAAGACUCUUAUGGUCAGUGUAUAUAAUACACCUUUCUCCGUACAAGUAAUGUAUCCAAAUCCUAAGUGCAAAUAUCACUGCUGCCAACUCUAAAUCAUGAGUCAAAUAGUUUCCUUCAUGGGGCUUAAGCUGUCGUGAUGCAUAUGCAACCACCUUACCCUCUUGCAUUAACACGUAGCCCAAACCCACGUGUGAUGCGUCACUAUACACACUAAAAUCCUUCCCAGACUCCGGCUGAAUCAACACAGGUGCUUUAGUCAGAACUUUCUUCAACUUCUCAAAAGCUUCCUGCUGCUUCUCAGUCUAUACAAACGGUACUCCUUUUCUUAUGAAUUUUGUCAGAGGUGCUGCCAUCACAGAAAAACCUUCUACAAACCUUCUGUAGUAUCCUGCCAGUCCUAGGAAACUUAGUAUUUCCGACACCGUCCUAGGUGGCUUCCAUUCCAAAAUUGCUUCAACCUUUCGAGGGUCCACCUUAAUCCCUUCGGCAGAGACCACAUGUCCUAAGAAGGUUACCUCCCUCAACCAAAAUUCACACUUGCUGAACUUCACAAAGAGUUCCUUCUCCCUUAAUACUUACAGCACUAUACGGAGAUGCUCAUCAUGUUUCGUUUCAGUUUUAGAAUAUACCAGGAUAUCGUCAAUAAAGACGACUACGAACUGAUCCAAAAAUGGUUGGAAUACACGAUUCAUCAGAUCCAUAAACGCUGUAGGAGCAUUCGUUAGUCCAAAUGGCAUAACCAGAAACUCGUAAUGACCAUACUGAGUCCUGAAUGUCAUCUUUUGGAUAUUUGCCUCCUUGACCCUUAACUGAUGAUAUCCAGAUCGAAGGUCGAUCUUGGAAAAUACAGAAGCUCCUCUAAGCUGGUCGAACAGAUCAUCAAUCCUUGGCAGCGGAUACUUAUUCUUAAUCGUCAGUUUGUUCAACUGGCGAUAAUUAAUGCACAUUCGCAUCGUACCAUCCUUCUUUUUCAUGAAUAGCACCGGUGCUCCCCAUGAAGACACGCUUGGCCUAAUAAAGCCCCUAUCCAACAACUCUUGAAUUUGAGCAUUUAACUCUACUAACUCCUUCGUGCCAUCCUAUACGGUGCGAUGGACACAGGCGCCGUUCCAGGCAACAAAUCUAUUCCAAACUCAACUUCUCGGUUCGGAGGUAAUCCUGGAAGCUCCUCCAGAAAAACAUCUUGGAGCUCUUUUACGGUCCUAACCUUAUCCACUGUCAGUCCCUCCUCUUCCGACUGACUUACAAAUGCCAAAUAGGCCUCACAACCUUUCCGAAUCCACGUCUCGACUCUUAAUACCGAUACCACAUUGAACAAAUAAUCCCUUCGCUCACCUAUCACCAUAACCUCCUCAUCCUUUGUGGUCCUUAACACCAUUCGUUUGACAGCACAAUCCAGAGUCACUUUAUGCUUAACAAGCCAGUCCAUUCCCAGAAUGAGAUCAAACUCUCCGAACGGUAACUCCAUCAGAUCUCCAGGGAAAAUCUUAUCUUGAGUUUCUAAGGGUACAUCCCUAUACAGUUUGUCUACCCUAACGGAGUGACUCAAAUGACUUAGUACAGAUAACCUACUCACAAUCUCCUCAGAGCAGUCCAAGUUGUCCAUAAUCCAUUCUGUGGCCUCCAACCAAUAUACUGCCACAUUCGGGACUAUACCAGACGCACCCCUAAAGAUCUCCGCUCCGUUGGCCCGGAGUCGUUCAGAAAUCGAUCCUCAAAUUUCGUUGCCCGAACUUGUCCCGGUAACCCUUUCCUAAACACGAAGCAUUGCCUGUGACAGGGCAUCAUCCUCGACAUCGCGGUCAUGAGACUCUACCUCUGUUGCCAGUGGUACCGGUGCAUCCACCGUCGGCAUAUGUCUCGAAGACGAAGAUCUCGCUCGAGCACUUCCUCGACUCCGUCCACGGCCUCUUGUACUCAUAUCGUAUUAUCUUGAUUACGAAUUUUUAUGCAUCAAUAAAUAUUCAAGUGUUUAUUACAGAUGUUUUAUGAAUCAGACAGUAGUUUAGAGUUUGUUUUCACAGAAUCGAAGUCUAGCUACAGUUUCAGUCUCUUAUCAGAUUUUCCUAUGGUUUCAGUAUCAUCCUAUCUAGAGUAUCCUAGAAGGAUUUUAGUACAGACAGAUAAUUCAGGAGAAUAUUCAGAAAAGUUCAGAGUAAUACUUACAGGCUUGGGCCGGAGAUUCGGAAUGCCACCUUCUAAAGAUCUAAAUUUUAAAAAUCGCGUUUUUCGCAAUCUUUAUAAUUUUUUUUGAAAAUCUUUGUUUUUUUUUGUAAACCCAUUCCACAGCCGAUUUGUUACAACCUAGGCUCUGAUACCACUAAAUGUAGCACCCCAAACCCAGCCCAGAAGUUAUGGCCGGAUUCGGCAUGCCACAUCAAAAACGUAAAAAAAAAUUUCAUUCUAAGUCCAGAAAAUCGUACUUGAUGUUCAAAAGAUUAAUUUCAUUAUAGGUUAAAGUGAAUGGAAGCUGUGCACCAGGUAGGAAACCAGAAAAGAGGUGGUGAGUCCAUCGGACUGCUUAAGUACCAAGCUCCAUUCGGAUCCAAUCCUAGACAUGCAUACUACAAUUGCCACACCUUAACGUCAUGGAUAUUUCUAGGAAACCGAUUUGAUUAAGUCAUUUUUAAGAAAAGUGAUUAAUUUUGGAAAAUACUUUCAUUGCGGAAGCUUUGCUUGUUGUCGUAUUAUUUUGAAAUCAACUGUUGUUUUUGAAAACGCGCCCUAAAGCUAUCCAAUUUCAACAGUUAAAAUAAGUAUUACCUAUCUUAGUAAUACAUAUUAAAAACCAUCAAAAAUAAAUAAGCGGCAUUAUUACAUUUAAAAGCCCAAAACCUCAAACGUAAUUAAAAGGAUGUCCAGUUCACCAGAAGAAAAUCAAACUUUCAGAACGGGUGGCCACUCCGAAUUCCCUCACAGCUCCAAGCCCACUAUGGUUGGGGAUUACCUGCGUGGAUGAAAAUAAAAGGGAUGAGUUUGGGGAAACUCAGUGUAUAAAAUAACCCAACCAUAGUCUAAAUCAGCUCAACCCACAGAAACAGAAUAAGUUAGCCUUAGCCCAGAACAGAAUUCAGAAUAAAGCCCAUAGGCCCAUAACAGAACAGAACAGAUAUUACAUGUUUAUGUAGAAACCCAACCAUAUCCAACCGUAUACACCCCCGUACCAACCUUACACCAUGUGGGGAGACAACUCGACCCACCCAACCGCUACACACCACAGAAUUUUCAGCAUGGGUGCCAGAACAGAUAAUGUGACAAAGUCACCAAAUACAAAUAAUCGUGGCAGAGCCACCAGAAUAGAUAUAUGUGGCAGAGCCACCAGAUCAGAUAUUUGUGGCAUAGCCACCAGAACGGUUCCUCCAUAAUAUAACCCAUGUCCCCAUGCAAUAAAUAUAUAAUCAUGGCAUCCAUCAUACAGAAUCAGAUCGCUAUGCUUUUCAGUCAAAAUUAACCCUACGGGUAUAACGGUAAUUUUACACCCAGGGGUAUAACAGUAAUUUUCCAUACAUAGGGGUAUUAUAGUAAUUUAGCUACUUUCAGGGUUUUCAUGCAUAUCCUAACUAUUUACGUACUAUCAGAACACUUACCGCGCAUACUUACCGAAUUGGGCCCGUUGGCCCAUGAACCCGAUCUUUGGCCCAUUAAGCCUAAAUUAUCAAAAUGUACGAAAUCGCGCGUACUGCAGUUUAUUACUUUAGAUUACCAAAUAUACAAACCCAACUAUUUUACGAGCAUUCGCACACUCGCAAAUUCCCAAAAUACCGACUUUUCAGCAUUUCGGCUUUUCGGCUUUUGCCAAUCUAGUCUAUGAGAGGGUGUCAGUUACACACCUGUUUGCGACGAUAUGCUGACGAGAUCCACACACGAACCGCCUACAAUUGGAUUACUAACACAUUAAUCUAACUAUUCAAAUACAAACUACGUAUUAAACCCUUACAAUAUUCGGUCAACCACACCUACAGAUCAUAGUAAGCUUAUAAGAAAUCAAUAAGCAACUCAUUAACAAAUUUUUGUCAAUAUUUACCACAUCAUCAUAAUUUCACUGCAAGCUGUCUUUUUGAGCAACAGUCACUAAAUCAUUUAUAACUGGAGCUACGAAACUCCAAAUCAAGUGCCGUUAAUUUUUCCUGAAAAUAGACUCAUAUAUCUUAUAUCCAUAAAAUUUUUAGAAUUUUUGGUUUGUCCAAUCAAUACCAGAUAUUUCUUAAAGUUUCCCGUGUUUCACUGUUUGACUAAUCUGAACACUCUUCAUUACGAAUCAAAUUUCUCAUUGUACAGAAUUCAAAAUAUGUUCUCGUUUAUUUCAUUUGAAACUAGACUCAACAAGCUUUAAUUACAUAAUUUAUUCACCUUCUAACUCAUCUCUCAAAAUUUAUGGUGAUUUUCCAAAGUCACGUUACUGCUGCUGUCCCAAGUAGAUUUAUUACCAAAUCACUCUUUCACACAUAACUUGCAUGCAUGUUAUUUAAACAUGUAUAUCACCAAUCAAUCAUCACAUAUCUAUGAUUUUACUUAAGUAUAAUCUCCAUUUCAUCAUUUUAAAGCACAACAUGUUAGCUGAUUUUUCCCUUUAACAUCUAAGGCACAUGCAUGCUCAUUUGUUUGUCUCAACUUCACCUAUCUUCCAUUUUUCAUCAAAAGAACAUGAAACAACAACCAUUUCCUUCAUUUUAAUUCAUGACUAAAUGCUCGCAACACAACUAAAAAUCAAAAUAUACUUCAAGAGUUAAGGUAGAAUCAAGAAGAACUCAUGAACCUCAAAAUAGAAGUAAGGUACCAAGAACUUGCCUUCAAUUUUCCUCCUCCUAAUGACCGAAUACUCAAGAGCUUUCUCCUCUCCUUUCUCUUCUCUAACUUUCAGCUAUGAUGAACAAAGAUGGACAAAACUUUGUUCUUUUCACCCCUUUUUCUUUUAAUAAAACUUCAUAUUUCAUCC